AGUGCUGGGACCGGCAGACGGCUGAGUAACACGUUGGCACUUGCCCGAUACUCGAGGAUAGCUCGGAGAAAUCCGGAUUAAUACUCGAUAGUUCCCUUCGGGGUAAAGAUUUAUCGGUAUCGGAGAGGCCUGCGGCCUAUCAGUUUGUUGGUGAGGUAAAAGCUCACCAAGACAAUGACGGGUAGCUGGAUUGAGAGAUCGACCAGCCAGAAUGGGACUGAGACACGGCCCAUACUCC
rnacentral:rRNA from 1 species